ensembl:rRNA 5S_rRNA 5S ribosomal RNA
GCUUACGGCCACACCGCCUGGUUCACGUCCGAUCUCGUUUGAUCUCGGAAGCUAAAAUAGGUUGGGCCUGGUUAGUACUUGCAUGGGAGACUGCCUGGGAAUACCAGGUGCUGUAAGCU